GAUGAACGCUGGCGGCGUGCCUAAUACAUGCAAGUCGAGCGAACAGACGAGGAGCUUGCUCCUCUGACGUUAGCGGCGGACGGGUGAGUAACACGUGGAUAACCUACCUAUAAGACUGGGAUAACUUCGGGAAACCGGAGCUAAUACCGGAUAAUAUAUUGAACCGCAUGGUUCAAUAGUGAAAGACGGUUUUGCUGUCACUUAUAGAUGGAUCCGCGCCGCAUUAGCUAGUUGGUAAGGUAACGGCUUACCAAGGCAACGAUGCGUAGCCGACCUGAGAGGGUGAUCGGCCACACUGGAACUGAGACACGGUCCAGACUCCUACGGGAGGCCGCAGUAGGGAAUCUUCCGCAAUGGGCGAAAGCCUGACGGAGCAACGCCGCGUGAGUGAUGACGGUCUUCGGAUCGUAAAACUCUGUUAUUAGGGAAGAACAAAUGUGUAAGUAACUAUGCACGUCUUGACGGUACCUAAUCAGAAAGCCACGGCUAACUACGUG
rnacentral:rRNA from 1 species